rnacentral:tRNA from 1 species
GCAUUGAUGGUUCAGUGGUAGAAUUCUUGCUUUCAAUGCAGGAGACCCAGGCUCAAUUUCUGGCCAACCUA